GGCUGUAGUUCAAAAAAUAGUGCUCACGAGAACUGCUAAUAUCCUACGUAAAAUGCUCUCUAUGUAAUCUCAAA